rnacentral:rRNA from 1 species
AGUGAACGCUGGCGGUAGGCCUAACACAUGCAAGUCGAACGGCAGCACAGUAAGAGCUUGCUCUUACGGGUGGCGAGUGGCGGACGGGUGAGGAAUACAUCGGAAUCUACUUUUUCGUGGGGGAUAACGUAGGGAAACUUACGAUAAUACCGCAUACGACCUACCGGUGAAAGCAGGGGAUAUUCGCAGCUUGCGCGAUUGAAUUAGCCGAUGUCGGACUAGCUAGUUGGCGGGGUAAAGGCCCACCAAGGCGACGAUCCGUAGCUGGUCUGAGAGGAUGAUCAGCCACACUGGAACUGAGACACGGUCCAGACUCCUACGGGAGGCAGCAGUGGGGAAUAUUGGGCAAUGGGCGCAAGCCUGAUCCAGCCAUACCGCGUGGGUGAAGAAGGCCUUCGGGUUGUAAAGCCCUUUUGUUGGGAAAGAAAAGCAGCAGGUUAAUACCCCGCUGUUCUGACGGUACCCAAAGAAUAAGCACCGGCUAACUUCGUG